rnacentral:misc_RNA from 1 species
AUCAUCCGUUUCCUCAGGACCAGCUGCAAACGCCAUAAAUGAAUAAAUCAACAUGUUUUGAGAUGACCAACAGACUUUUCUUCAGUAUCAAAUAGGAUUAAUUCUAAAUCUAACAAAUAAUUAAUGAAUAGAAAAAUAAAAGGGUUGAGGGCUCCUUUCAAUUUUAAACAGAAGCAAGAAAAUUGUCCAUUGACUUCAUUUUUUUUUUCUCCAAAGGAAAAAUUAUAAAAUAAUCAACAUUUUCCAUUAGCGAUAUCUCAAUAAUGCAAAUAUAAUUUAUUCAUAAAAAGAAAUAAUGCGAAUAUAAAUUAUCACUAGCCCAACCUGUAUCAAUGACAAUCAAUCUAUCGGGGAAAUGAUGGUAUUAUACUAAUAAACAGAUUUGAGAAAAUGGGUACCAUUGAUUUGAGCAUUAUCAUUAG